rnacentral:rRNA from 1 species
AUACGGAGGAUGCAAGCGUUAUCCGGAUUUAUUGGGUUUAAAGGGUGCGUAGGCGGCUUGCUAAGCGGGAGGUGAAAUGCCGGCGCUCGACGUCGGAAGUGCCUCCCGAACUGGUGGACUUGAAUGACUCUGCCGUGGGAGGAAUGUGUAGUGUAGCGGUGAAGUGCUUAGAGAUUACACAGAACACCGGUUGCGAAGGCGUCUCACGAAGGGUGGAAUUACGCUUACGCACUAAAGCCUUGGGAUCUAACAGUAUUAGAUACCCUGGUAGACCACAGCGUAAACGAUGAUCGCUAACCGCUUGGCUUAGCAGUUCAGUGGCCAAGCGAAAGCGAUAAGGCAUCCACCUGGUGACUACGACCUUAACGCUGCAGCUCACACGAAGUGACUGGG